AUGACGUUGAAUCAACGUUGUUUCCACAUAAUUUCAACAAAAACAUUCAAUGUGAUGACGUUGAAUCAACAUUGUUUCCACAUAAUUUCAACAAAAACAUUCAAUGUGAUGACGUUGAAUCAACGUUGUUUCAACAUAAUUUCAACAAAAACAUUCAAUGUGAUGAAGUUGAAUCAACGUUGUUUCAACAAUUUCAACAAAAACAUUCAAUGUGAUGAAGUUGAAUCAACGUUGUUUCAACAAUUUCAACAAAAACAUUCAAUGUGAUGACGUUGAAUCAACGGGGAAACUGUAUUUGCAAAAAGUCCAACAUAAGGGAUUUGUUUUUCAUUUUUUCACCCAACUUUAUUGACAUGGUGAAUAUUUUAUUUUGAUUUCACGUUAAAUUGAUCUUAGUUGACAACUCAACCAAAUGUAAAUCAAGACUAGAUGUUGAAAUGACAUCUGCCCAGUGUGUUGCAUCUGCACUGCUCUUCAAGUAAAUGUGUUUUAAAAAUGGUAGGAAAUUAUUCACAAAGUUGUAUGGUUUGUUUAACUUUGCUAUCAUUGGUUUUUGUUUGACAUACUUUUUAAAGUGAAAAAUCUGUCUCGGCAUCACUUAUUUAUUGUGGAAUUGUCAACAAGCUUUUUUCAUUUUCCCGUAUUACCAUGUCUUGUACAAUGCUUUUAAAGUUAAUGCUCAGUAAAAGUAUGUAUGGUCAGUAUAUUAAUCAAUUUUUUUGUUUAAUCUCGUUUGCAUUCUGUUUUCUUUCUUACUACUUGCUCAUGUGUCAUUGGUCACCCUGUGAGAUGGUCACAUUACUUCACUAGUGUGGAAAUGUAUGGAGCGAAUUUCAAAGGAUCACCGCUUCUUGUCUACUAGCUUAUACGAUGUUGAAUAAUACAUGUUUCCUGGCAUGUGCACGGCUUAACGCUUAUAGGCUACCUUAUCAUUUCCUCUGCUUCAUAUAGAAAUGUAUAUUUAUGAAUUUUGCUUGUAGUUUUUCACAAAUAAAAUUGUUAAAGUUAACUAAAUUCCCAAGGAAUAGAUUUCUUUAUUUCCCCCUCUGACGGAGCAGUGUCCUGAGCUGUGGCUUCCAUGUCUUAUCCGUUAUCUCUGGCUGCCGUCACAGAUCAGCCGUCACGCCAGCCUGCUCGUCUCCCGCACUAUCACUCAGACCUGAUUGAGAUGUCUGAGUGUAUGAAGAGGGAGGGAGGUGAGGGGGAUUUCCUUCUACACAGUGCAGUGACACGAGACACGGGGGAUCCUUACAGGUAGACACCCGCCAGUCAUCUCUGCUGGGGAAAUCCUUCCUACCCAGUGUCUGGUUAACAGAGCAGCAGGGCAGUAGAGCUCUCUGACAGUAGGAUGAGGCGGGGCUCGGGGGCAGAAGCAGCAGCCCUCUGCUGUCUGUCACAACCUGGAUGACUGGACACCACAGAUGAGUCAAAGACACAUGAUGAUUACAAGAAGCAUUUUGCUGCACCUGCUAUGACAUCUGCUAAACUGUGUACCUGACUAAUACACUUUGAUUUGAACGAGUUAUACUUAAAGGUAACUUGAAUUGCUAACCAGGUGCUUGCUAUGUCGUUAUCUGCUUGCACUAUGUUGCAAAACCGGACUCUCAACCGCUCCUCGACAAAAUAUAAUGACCAAGGAAGUAUAAUUUGACACCUUGUAGAAUCAUAACACCUUGUUCCUAUUCCACCUCUGUUGUUGUGGCUCUAGCCUCAGAUUGUCCAGUAGUUUUUGU
rnacentral:lncRNA from 13 species